rnacentral:rRNA from 1 species
GACGAACGCUGGCGGCGUGCUUAACACAUGCAAGUCGAACGAAGAGCGAUGGAAGCUUGCUUCUAUCAAUCUUAGUGGCGAACGGGUGAGUAACGCGUAAUCAACCUGCCCUUCAGAGGGGGACAACAGUUGGAAACGACUGCUAAUACCGCAUACGAUCUAAUCUCGGCAUCGAGGAUAGAUGAAAGGUGGCCUCUACAUGUAAGCUAUCACUGAAGGAGGGGAUUGCGUCUGAUUAGCUAGUUGGAGGGGUAACGGCCCACCAAGGCGAUGAUCAGUAGCCGGUCUGAGAGGAUGAACGGCCACAUUGGGACUGAGACACGGCCCAGACUCCUACGGGAGGCAGCAGUGGGGAAUCUUCCGCAAUGGACGAAAGUCUGACGGAGCAACGCCGCGUGAGUGAUGGCGGCCUUCGGGUUGUAAAGCUCUGUUAAUCGGGACGAAAGGCCUUCUUGCAAAUAGUGAGAAGGAUUGACGGUACCGGAAUAGAAAGCCACGGCUAACUACGUG